UUGCUCCAGUGGCAGGAUGUGAUCAACCGGCAAGGAGGGACGCCAAUAGGGCGUCCGAUAAGGAACUGUCAAAAUGUAUCUCUUUUCCAAAAUUAAAUUUGAAACAAGUUUAUAAUGCUUGGGGCACUUUGAAGAUUGAGGAGCAAGAAAGACAGUGUUCAGCAUGUUACCACUGGCAGAAAAAGAGGGAAAUGCUUUCAGGAAUGCAUAUAUUCAAAUUCUCCAGCAGAGGAAUGUAGGGGCCGGUGGCACCGAUUCCACGAGGCAGUGGCGAGAACUAAGACAGACAAGCUCGGAAGCUCUUUGCUCCGAGCAUUGGAGCAACUCUAAAGCAUUGGAUUGGAUGGAUACAGAAAGAAUCCAAGCUGCUCUCAGAUUUCUCAGGCACAAGGACGCAGAGCAGCGUGGACACAGGCGGAUGAAGCAGCCCACCCAGUAUGUGCGCCGGCCUCUGGGCGGCAUCCUCUCAUCCUAAAGGACAGCUCCUCACGGCUUGUCACAGAACCCGACCCGAAGAGUAACAGUACAGACGGGCAACAGAUGCUGACAAAUACAUUUAAAAAAAAAAUUCCCACAGAAGAGAAGAAAAAUCACUAUUGGUAAAGAAAAAACAACAUGUGGGCCAAUGGCCCUUUCAGAGGUUACGUGGAAAAUAUGGUUGCAUGGGUUCUGCAAAAUGGUUUUGUGACCACAUCACGCAUGGCUUGAAGACUAGCUGAAGGAACAAAGGCUCCGAGCACUGCUGAGGCACACAGAAAGCAGCCCAGGCUAAUAGCUCACUAACUCCCCACAGGAAGAGGAAGGAGGAAGCACUUCCUGCCCGGUGCAUACUUUGGCGAAUGUGAUGUAGAAGUCCCUCUUGAGCGUGCUCCUCUCCAUGGUGAUGAUCUGGGAGAGGCCACAGCCCAGUGACAGGGCCAGGCAAAUUCUUAAGACGAUCAGAAGGACCCCUGCUAAGCUGCGGUGAGAAUGCGAGCUAUGGUGACGCGUGUCUUCAAACUGCUCCCAAAGGAGCAAAAUGCUCUGUAAAUAGAAAAACAAUUAGAGAAAAAUACACCUAUUUUCAAUAAAAUUUGUCUUCAGCCCUUCUGUAAGCAUCUUUUGAAUGCUAGAAAAACAUUCCGGAGGAAAGCAAAGAUUUAUGGGACUGUAAAGGCUGUCAAUCAAUAGUGUGGUUCUUUUCCUGCUCUCCUACUCUUGAGAGGGAUUUCUACCCAGUGAUGCCCAGGGAAACAAUAAACAAGCAGUGACUAUUGCUACCACGAGCCAAAACCAUCAUCACUAAGAAUAAACAGAUGAAAAAGGCGAAGAGUGCAGUCUCUUCUAAGCCCACCUCCUCCCAUCACAACCCUCCUCGCUGUCUCGAGGCUAACUUGCUUGGUUUUAUGAGAGGCUUGGCCUCAAAAGUUUCAUCAAUGUCAUGUCUCUGCCCACUGAGAUCUGGCCGUAUGGGCAUGCCGAAUUUAAGACCACUUUCAAAUAGCUCCAUCUUUUCGAACAGAGUGUGCCAAGUCCCAACUGUUGUCAAAUGUCACUCUUUCUGGCAAGUUCCUAAAGUAAGGGAAGACAUGUUUGUUUAUUGUUUGGAUUUUAUUUUGCUAUUACUGUGUGUGUGAAGGUGCAUGUCUGUACCACACCAUGUUUGUAGAGGUCAGAUGACAACUUUGUGGGUUUGCCCAUUGUUAUGUGGGGACUCAGGACUGGACACAGGUUGUUGGGUCUCAGUCUGAAAGCACAUCUGUGAUAUCUGGUAAAAACUCCUGGGCACUGUCACCCACCCUUACUUUUUUGUGACCUUACCUCUCAAAGCUGUGACAAUAAAACAAACAAAACAAAACAAAACAAAACACA